GGUGGUUUUGCGACAGAAUAAUAGUUAUCAAAUGUACCGGGCUUAUAAUUUGAUAUGCCUGACGCGCGUUUUGUCUACAUAAGAAUCAUUAGUGACGCUCAGGUCAAAACAGUUAGAAAGCCAGACAAGUAAUCUGUUGUGCAAAAUACGGCUUAGGUAAUCUAUGCCUGGGAUAAUUUAAAACUCAAAUAUCGAUAAUGUAAGUGUGUUUGAUUACAGGGCAGACGUU
rnacentral:lncRNA from 1 species